AACGAACGCUGGCGGCAUGCCUAACACAUGCAAGUCGAACGAGACCUUCGGGUCUAGUGGCGCACGGGUGCGUAACGCGUGGGAACCUGCCUUUAGGUUCGGAAUAACUCAGAGAAAUUUGAGCUAAUACCGGAUGAUGUCUUCGGACCAAAGAUUUAUCGCCUUUAGAUGGGCCCGCGUUGGAUUAGCUAGUUGGUGGGGUAAAGGCCUACCAAGGCGACGAUCCAUAGCUGGUCUGAGAGGAUGAUCAGCCACACUGGGACUGAGACACGGCCCAGACUCCUACGGGAGGCAGCAGUGGGGAAUAUUGGACAAUGGGCGAAAGCCUGAUCCAGCAAUGCCGCGUGGGUGAUGAAGGCCUUAGGGUUGUAAAGCUCUUUUACCCGAGAUGAUAAUGACAGUAUCGGGAGAAUAAGCGCCGGCUAACUCCGUG
rnacentral:rRNA from 1 species